UCAGAACGAACGCUGGCGGCGUGCUUAACACAUGCAAGUCGGAUGCGAACGGGCUUUUCGGAGCGCAAGUAGCAUGGCAGACGGGUGAGGAGCACGUACCUGACCUGGCUCUUAAUGGGGGAUAGUCCUUCGAAAGAGGGUUGAAUACCGCAUACGCUCAGGAGGGCGACCUUCUGAGGAAAGCUGGCCUCUGCCGAUGCAGGCUGGUGUUGAGAGGGGGGGGUGCGGCCUAUUAGCUAGUUGGUAGGGUAAGAGCCUACCAAGGCGACGAUGGGUAGCUGGUCUGAGAGGAUGAUCAGCCACACUGGGACCGAGAGACGGCCCAGACUCCUACGGGAGGCAGCAGUGGGGAAUUUUGCGCAAUGGGGGCAACCCUGACGCAGCAACGCCGUGUGAGUGAGGACGCCUUUCGGGGUGUAAAGCUCUGUCAGCAGGGACGAACGUGUCGCGUAGAAGAUGCGCGGGCAUUGACGGUACCUGGUGAGGAAGCCCCGGCUAACUCCGUGCCAGCAGCCGCGGUAAGACGGAGGGGGCAAGCGUUGUUCGGAAUUACUGGGCGUAAAGCGCGCGUAGGCGGCGAGACAAGUGCCGAGUGAAAGCCCUCGGCUUAACCGAGGAAGGGCUUGGCAGACUGUGUGGCUAGAGUUUCGGAGGGGGAGGCGGAAUUCCUGGUGGAGCGGUGAAAUGCGUAGAGAUCAGGAAGAACGUCAGUGGCGAAGGCGGCCUCCUGGACGAGAACUGACGCUGAGGUGCGAGAGCGUGGGGAGCGAACGGGAUUAGAUACCCCGGUAGUCCACGCCGUAAACGCUGGGCACUAGGUGUGGGGCCGAGGACCGGGUCCGUGCCGGAGCUAAACGCAGUAAGUGCCC
rnacentral:rRNA from 1 species